rnacentral:rRNA from 1 species
AGAGCGAACGCUGGCGGCGUGCUUAACACAUGCAAGUCGAGUGCGCGCCUGUAGCAAUACAGGUGGCGCACGGCGCACGGGUGCGUAACACGUGGGUAAUCUGCCCUUCGAUGGGGAAUAACUCCGGGAACCGAAGCUAAUUCCGCAUAACAUUCCUUGGACCUCGGUCUGGGGAUUCAAAGCCGUAAGGCGUCGGAGGAGGAACCCGCGCACGAUUAGUUAGUUGGCAGGGUAACGGCCUACCAAGACUUUGAUCGUUAGC